rnacentral:rRNA from 1 species
CCUACGGGAGGCAGCAGUCGAGAAUCAUUCACAAUGGGGGAAACCCUGAUGGUGCGACGCCGCGUGGGGGAAUGAAGGUCUUCGGAUUGUAAACCCCUGUCAUGUGGGAGCAAAUUAAGAAGAUAGUACCACAAGAGGAAGAGACGUCCAACUCUGUGCCAGCAGCCGCGGUAAUACAGAGGGCUCAAGCGUUGUUCGGAAUCACUGGGCGGAAAGGGUGCGUAGGCUGUUUCGUAAGUCGUGUGUGAAAGGCGCGGGCUCAACCCGCGGACGGCACAUGAUACUGCGAGACUAGAGUGAUGGAGGGGGAAGCGGAAUUCUCGGUGUAGCAGUGAAAUGCGUAGAUAUCGAGAGGAACACUCGUGGCGAAGGCGGGUUCCUGGACAUUAACUGACGCUGAGGCACGAAGGCCAGGGGAGCGAAAGGGAUUAGAUACCCUGGUAGUC